GUGGUUAGAAGACGGUUUGAAGAUGAUGAGAACCCACACCCACACAUGGGAGGACAUGGACAUGGUCAACUCCGACUCUGACUCUCCCCAGAAACUGAGCAUCAAGGGCUUUCAAUUCCUCACCUCUCGUCAAUCUCUUCGACUCCGGAAUUGUCCAAAGCUGGCAUCUAUGCCAGUGGAGGGCCUGCUCUUUCACUUUCACAAUUUUAUAUCUCUGGGUGUCCAAAGAUUCUUUGGGUCACAUCUUCAAGUCUUAUCUUUGGACGAUACUGGCCCAAAAUAUCCCACAUUCCUUGCAUAGAGAUAUAUCCAACUCUCCCCAGGUACUUCAAAUUUCAAACACUAUCAACCUUUAAUGGGUACCAUGAAAUAAGAAGAGUGCUGCUAUUUCCACCCAUCUGUCCUAUUUUCCCACUCACUUUAUCUUUAAAUUUUUAAAGACAAAUAUACCCAUUUGUAAAAUGACUUCUAAGGACUUAGGGACAAAACCAAUCUCCCUCACCUAAGUGUGAGCAACCAUUUUAUACCAGAAAUUGGAUUAAUCUCACGAUACAUAGAGCCUUUUAUUAACUUAAAUUCUUGACCCGCAUAUUGCACACAACUUCUUCUUCCUCAUGUAGCCAUCUCUCUGUUUUCUAAAAGCUUCCAAAAGUUUUA